AAAAAACUAAACUUUUUUUGACUCCUGAAGCCUUGCAUUGUAUUUGUUGUUUUUCAUGCGUACGCGUUUGGCAUUCACGACGCCCCUUACGUCACGACGUUGCCGUGGUUGCCAGAGCAACCGCGUCAGCUUCACCGCUAACAACAUUCCCUCAAGCGGCUUCUGCACAUCCACCCGACAAAUGUCACGGAUUUGAUAUGGAUUAUGCGUUUAAAAUCAAACACAAAGCGUGUUCUCCACAAGUCUGCGCUCCGUGUAACAAGCACAACACGGUGUAAAUUCACUUCUUCUGUGAGAAAUGCUGGUUAGCUUAGCUUGUCGUGCUAAUCCUUCAGCGGAACUGAUCUAAACGGUCAGAUUCGGUCCUGAAUUGAUUUCCAGACACCAUCUUGAGUUCGGGCUGGGCUCGGUGCUCAGACACUCACACCCAAAGGAUUCUGGGUAAUGGGGUAAUACGGAGACGGAUGUGUUGAGUGAGUUCUCCUGGCUGAGAGAUAUCAUGUCAGUCAAACUCCUGCUUUUUCCAGCUUGUGUUUUUGUGCAUUUAUACUAGUGAUGCACCGAUCCGAUACUCAGGAACUGAACUGUGUUUUGGAGAGUUUCUAAUCUGGAGAGUUUCAGUCUGGUGGAUGUCAGUCAAGACCUUACCCAGAGACAUGCAUGAACCGACUCAUGGAUGUCAUAGGUGCACACAUCAGACACGGGGCCAGUUUUACUAAACAGUUUCAAAACAGAGCUGAUGGGUUCAGCAGAACAGGAAGCAGCUGGAAAGCUCAAGACCUUCAUAAUAGAUGCACAGGACAGUCCACAGCAGGAGUAAGACUCACAUGUUCGAGGAGUUUCUGUUCGCGUGGCUCGACCGUCUGAGGAAGCUGGAGGAGCACAGCAGCAUGUCUGUCAAAAUGCAGAAGGAAGUGGACAGAUGCAGGGUCUGACAGCUGGAUUAUUCCAGUUCUUUACUAGUAUUCUGUGGAAAUUCUGUUGAAUGUGUGGACUGGUCAUGUUCAGGUCAUUUGGUUUAGAUUAGAAUUUUUCCAAUAACUACAAUCAGUAGCUACUUUAUUAUUUAAUUUCCCUCUCGGGUAAUCUGAAUCAGUUUAGUGAAUUCAUUUGGAUGGUUCAUUUCAAUGAAUAUAAAUAAGAAUAUUAAUUGUGUAAUUUAUAAUUAAAAUAAUAACAUUUGAAAAAAUAUAUAUUAAAU
ensembl:lncRNA